UUGCUGGACCAGCAUUCGCAAGUACUCAGAUUAACCCUCCCUGUUCACCUGCGACAUCCAUUCCAAUUGCCUGCUUGUCUCACCUGCUCCAGCUUGUAAUUUUAUAUAUACCAACAAAUUGGCUGUUCUGGUCUCCAGGGUGUGAUGGAGGAGUAGGAUGGUAGCAAUCGUGGUUGCAGUAGAGGCUCAAGCUGUCUUAGGUUUCGAUUGUUCAGAUGUGGAGCCAAUUCCAGGACGAUGGUCCUCAGCCAGUGAUUGCCAUUGCCUUUUCUGACGCCUUCGGGGAACCGAUUUUCCGGUUUGGUGCAACUCUUGCCAAGGAUGAAUGAAUCCUCGGGCUGUAGAGCUCACAGCCCUUUGUGCCGCAACUUGUACAGUCAUGGCUCACAAAUGCUUGUUGAUACUUCCUGCUUCAGGUUUAGUUUCGAACGUUCUGAUUCACUUCCAGUCAUAGUUGUGUAAAUCCUCAGUUUCUUUCCUUGUUUUUGUAAUAGAGAAACAAUCCUGAUUGUUCUUCAAGCAUAGACCUUUACUUAAGUUGUUAGAAUUCACCUGAAGAUGUCUCAUGCUGGAAGCUUUGGGCAUAGACUUAGUAGCGGUUUAGGGUUUAGUUAGAUAUCUUGGUGCAUUUUCAUCUGGAGUACUGCAGGCAUCGAUGAAAUUGGGUGUUGUAGAGGCAAGCCAAGGACGCCGUCUACAAGGAGCUGCAGUUCACGAAAAGUGCGCUUGAACAACUAUCUCGCUUGGUCGCAUCUUCAGGUACAGAGGCUUCGAGUGGGAUUGAGAAGGUUGAUUGCGCAUGGCUUGAGAAGGUUGAUCCCACUCGAAGUCACUGUACCUGGAGAAGGUCCUUGUCUCCACUCACUGUGACUGCUCUUGAAACAUGAAGGGGGUGUUUAGCAGAGGCUAAAGCUGGUGUUGCCAUGAA